rnacentral:rRNA from 1 species
GACGAACGCUGGCGGCGUGCCUAAUACAUGCAAGUAGAACGCUGAAGGAGGAGCUUGCUUCUCUGGAUGAGUUGCGAACGGGUGAGUAACGCGUAGGUAACCUGCCUGGUAGCGGGGGAUAACUAUUGGAAACGAUAGCUAAUACCGCAUAAGAGUAGAUGUUGCAUGACAUUUGCUUAAAAGGUGCACUUGCAUCACUACCAGAUGGACCUGCGUUGUAUUAGCUAGUUGGUGAGGUAACGGCUCACCAAGGCGACGAUACAUAGCCGACCUGAGAGGGUGAUCGGCCACACUGGGACUGAGACACGGCCCAGACUCCUACGGGAGGCAGCAGUAGGGAAUCUUCGGCAAUGGACGGAAGUCUGACCGAGCAACGCCGCGUGAGUGAAGAAGGUUUUCGGAUCGUAAAGCUCUGUUGUAAGAGAAGAACGAGUGUGAGAGUGGAAAGUUCACA